rnacentral:misc_RNA from 1 species
GAUGAAGAACGUAGUGAAAUGCGAUACGUAAUGUGAAUUGCAGAAUUCAGUGAAUCAUCGAGUCUUUGAACGCACAUUGCGCCUUCUGGUAUUCCGGAAGGCAUGCCUGUUCGAGAGUCAUUAACAACCGUUUCGAUCCCUUUCUUUCAGAAAUUACAAAGAGGAAAAGGGUUUGGUUAUGGUGGAGGAGGGAAAGGGAGCGUUUAGCCUGUAAAAAAAGAGGCUGUGUUCCGCCUCCCCCCCAAAAUUGUACAGGCGGUCGUGUGCGCCAACGCAUCGAGGUGUUGUAAAAGCUGCCACGGCACUUUUCACCUGUGCAGUGCGAGAUUGGCCAGCCGGUUUAAAAACCCCUCCAAACAAUCAAAGGUUGACCUCGGAUCAGGUAGGGAUACCCGCUGAACUUAAGCAUAUCAAUAAGCGGAGGA